AUUGAACGCUGGCGGCAGGCCUAACACAUGCAAGUCGAGCGGAUGAAGGGAGCUUGCUCCUGGAUUCAGCGGCGGACGGGUGAGUAAUGCCUAGGAAUCUGCCUGGUAGUGGGGGAUAACGUCCGGAAACGGGCGCUAAUACCGCAUACGUCCUGAGGGAGAAAGUGGGGGACCUCGGACCCUACGCCUACCGAAGAACCUAGGUCGGAUUAGCUUGUUGGUGGGGUAAAGGCCUACCAAGGCGACGAUCCGUAACUGGUCUGAGAGGAUGAUCAGUCACACUGGAACUGAGACACGGUCCAGACUCCUACGGGAGGCAGCAGUGGGGAAUAUUGGACAAUGGGCGAAAGCCUGAUCCAGCCAUGCCGCGUGUGUGAAGAAGGUCUUCGGAUUGUAAAGCACUUUAAGUUGGGAGGAAGGGCAGUAAGUUAAUACCUUGCUGUUUUGACGUUACCAACAGAAUAAGCACCGGCUAACUUCGUG
rnacentral:rRNA from 1 species